rnacentral:sRNA from 1 species
GCAGGUUCGAAUCCUGCACGACCCACCAAUUUCAGCAUUUAACUCAGAUGCUGAACGUGAAGGAUAACGUUGCGUCAGCAACGGCCCGAAGGGCGAGGCAAAGCCGAGUCAUCCUGCACGACCUACCA